rnacentral:rRNA from 1 species
AACGAACGCUGGCGGCAGGCCUAACACAUGCAAGUCGAGCGAGGACUUCGGUUCUAGCGGCGGACGGGUGAGUAACGCGUGGGAAUGUGCCCUUCUCUACGGAAUAGCCCUGGGAAACUGGGAGUAAUACCGUAUACGCCCUAUUGGGGAAAGAUUUAUCGGAGAAGGAUCAGCCCGCGUUGGAUUAGGUAGUUGGUGGGGUAAUGGCCUACCAAGCCGACGAUCCAUAGCUGGUUUGUGAGGAUGAUCAGCCACACUGGGACUGAGACACGGCCCAGACUCCUACGGGAGGCAGCAGAGGGGGAUCUUGGACAAUGGGGGCAACCCUGAUGUUGCCAUGACGCGAGAGUGAUGAAGGCAUGAGGGAUGUAAUGCGCUGUCAACUGGGAAGAUAAUGACGGUACCAGCAGAAGAAGCCCCGGCUAACUCCGUG